rfam:Schistosoma mansoni, Puerto Rico, WGS project CABG01000000 data, contig: 0160
AGCUUUUUGAAUCCUUGUAGAGAUUUCGCCGGACACCAACCCAUAAGGGCUGAUCAGACUCUCAAGAUAAGUGAAAUU